GUCUACAGCCACGCUACCCUGAACAAGACUGAUCCCGUCUGAUCUCGGAAGCUAAGCAGGGUCGGGCCUGGUUAGUACUUGAAUGGGAGACCACCUAAGAAGAUCAGCUGCUGUAGUGU
rnacentral:rRNA from 1 species